CUCUCUACCCCCUCCUACACCCAGUUCCUCGGCCCCGCCCCGACCCCACGCCCCUGAGCCAGUGGUUAAAUCCCCCCAUGGUGCUGAGCUCGCACCUGCUCCCCACCAGGCGCAGCACCAUGACUGCCGGUCGCCUCUGCUCGCUGGCCGCAGCCCUCCUCCUUGGGCUGCUGCUGCCUGGCCUCCUCCGGGCCACAGACAUGAGACCAGAGAAACCGGGCGUGUGCCCACGGCUCCAGGUGGACCUGAACUGCACAGAGAAGAAAGGGUGCCUGUCCGACGGCGACUGCCCGGAGAACCUCAAGUGCUGCCAGGGCGGCUGCAGCACCGUCUGCUCCCUGCCCAACGAAAAGGUGGGUACUUGCCCCAGUGUGGACUUACCCCAGCUCGGCAUCUGCGAGAACCUGUGUGAAGAGGACAGCCAGUGUAGUGGCCUGAUGAAAUGCUGUCGCAAUGGUUGUGGAAAGGUGUCCUGCAUCACACCCAAAUUCUGAGGCCCCACCUCUGAACACUACUGCAUUAGGGAUCAAGCCUUCAAUACAUGAAUGAGUCUUCAGGGAGACACUUCAUAGUUAAACCGUAACAAUGGGAUGCUCCAACCAUCACCAGCCAGAGGAGCAGGGAAAGGAAGUUCUGCCUGGCCUCGAAUCUGGCUCCAUUGCAGCCACCCUCCUUUCUUUCUGGGUCCUGAAUUCUUUCCUGAGCUAACCACAGCUUCUCCCUUUCCCAGCCAAUAAAGUGACAGCUUUCAGCACU